rnacentral:tRNA from 2 species
GGAGACGUGGCCGAGUGGUCGAAGGCACUCCCCUGCUAAGGGAGCAUACCCCAAAAGGGUAUCGGAGGUUCAAAUCCUCUCGUCUCCG